GACGAACGCUGGCGGCGUGCUUAACACAUGCAAGUCGAACGGUAAGGCCCUUCGGGGUACACGAGUGGCGAACGGGUGAGUAACACGUGGGUGAUCUGCCCUGCACUUCGGGAUAAGCCUGGGAAACUGGGUCUAAUACCGGAUAGGACUCCUGGCUUCAUGGUUGGGGGUGGAAAGCUUUUGCGGUGUGGGAUGGGCCCGCGGCCUAUCAGCUUGUUGGUGGGGUAAUGGCCUACCAAGGCGACGGCGGGUAGCCGGCCUGAGAGGGUUACCGGUCACACUGGGACUGAGAUACGGCCCAGACUCCUACGGGAGGCAGCAGUGGGGAAUAUUGUACAAUGGGCGCAAGCCUGAUGCAGCGACGCCGCGUGAGGGAUGACGGCCUUCGGGUUGUAAACCUCUUUCAGCUAUGACGAAGCGCAAGUGACGGUAGUAGCAGAAGAAGGACCGGCCAACUACGUGCCAGCCGCCGCGGUAA
rnacentral:rRNA from 1 species